rnacentral:rRNA from 1 species
AGUGAACGCUGGCGGUAGGCCUAAUACAUGCAAGUCGAACGGCAGCACAGUAAGAGCUUGCUCUUACGGGUGGCGAGUGGCGGACGGGUGAGGCAUACAUCGGAAUCUACUUUUUCGUGGGGGAUAACGUAGGGAAACUGACGCUAAUACCGCAUACGACCUACGGGUGAAAGCAGGGGAUCUUCGGACCUUGCGCGAUUGAAUGAGCCGAUGUCGGAUUAGCUAGUUGGCGGGGUAACGGCCCACCAAGGCGACGAUCCGUAGCUGGUCUGAGAGGAUGAUCAGCCACACUGGAACUGAGACACGGUCCAGACUCCUACGGGAGGCAGCAGUAGGGAAUAUUGGGCAAUGGGCGCAAGCCUGAUCCAGCCAUGCCGCGUGGGUGAAGAAGGCCUUCGGGUUGUAAAGCCCUUUUGUUGGGAAAGAAAAACAGCAUGUGAAUCCCCCCCUGUUCUGACGGUACCCAAAGAAUAAGCAACGGCUAACUUCGUG